GAUGAACGCUAGCGAUAGGCUUAACACAUGCAAGUCGAGGGGCAGCAUGGUCUUAGCUUGCUAAGACUGAUGGCGACCGGCGCACGGGUGCGUAACGCGUAUGCAACUUGUCUCACAGAGGGGGCUAACCCGUCGAAAGACGGACUAAUACCGCGUACACUUGGGAUAGGGCAUCCUGACCCAAGGAAAUGAAAUUCGCUGUGAGAUAGGCAUGCGUCCCAUUGGCUAGUUGGUGAGGUAACGGCUCACCAAGGCGACGAUGGGGAGGGGAACUGAGAGGUUGCACCACCACACUGGUACUGAGACACGGACCACACGGCUACGGAGGAGAGCAGUGAAGAAUAUUAGUCAAGGAACGAGAGCCUAAACAAGCCAAGUCGCGUGAAGAAGGACUGUGUUAGGGAUUGUAAACUUCUUGGAAACAAGAAUAGCAAGAGCCACGUGUGGCUCCCUGCAGGUACCGUAUGAAUAAGCAUCGGCUAACUCCGUG
rnacentral:rRNA from 1 species